AUGUACAGAAUCCUGCUACUUGUGGGACUGAAUGUUAUAUCAGUUUUGUCUAAAGUCUUUCAGAUAUCUCAGGACCCAAAACUGUUAAUAAAGAAGACGGGGGAACGUGUAGACCUCCAUUGUCAGCACAAUGAUAACACCUACCAUAUUAUGAGUUGGUACCAACAGAAGCCACAACAGGGUCUGAAGCUCAUGGUCUUGUCCUCCUCAGCGGGUGACAACACAAUGGAGAACGAUUUCAAGGACUGGACUCUCCAAAGACCCGAAACUACAAAUUCUGCAUUGACUAUUUCUCAGUCUAAAUCCCAGGACUCUGCUGUGUAUUAUUGUGCAGCCAGUGAUCACAGUUACACAAAGCAGUGA